CAAAGAAUUUAGCCCAACAACUGUCUGGCUAAUUGGUUUUGACUAAGAUUGGGCCUAUAAAACAGAAAGCCCAAAUUCGCUCGCACCAUGGUCUUUUUCCUCACUAAACCCUAACUCCUUUUGCUUCGCUAUCGUUCACAGUCGACGGUACGUACUCCUAAAUCUCUGCAAAGAUGGCAACCAACUACGAUUAUGAGGAGGCUCCAGCCACCUACGAUGAAGCUCACCGCCAAGACCUGGGGUACGACCCAAACUUCGUACCCGACUCCGUUAAGUCGCUCGUCGUCCAUCUAUAUCGUCAUAUUCGUGAGAAAAAUGUGUACGAGAUUCACCAGAUGUACGAGAUCUCAUUCCAAACUCUCUCGGACCGUCUCUUCAAAGACACUCCUUGGCCCUCCGUCGACGCCGUUGCGCACUUCGUCGACAACGACCAAGUAUUUUGCCUCCUUUACCGUGAGAUGUGGUUUCGUCACAUCUAUGCUCGCCUUUCGCCCACUCUCAAGCAGAGGAUUGACUCGUGGGAUAAUUAUUGUAGCCUCUUUCAGGUGGUUUUGCAUAGUGUAGUUAACAUGCAGUUACCAAAUCAAUGGUUAUGGGACAUGGUGGAUGAGUUCGUAUACCAAUUCCAAAGUUUCUGUCAAUACAGGGCUAAAAUGAAGAACAAAACUGAACAAGAAAUCGCACUUCUCCGCCAAUAUGAUCAAGCAUGGAAUGUGUAUGGGGUGCUUAACUACUUGCAAGCUUUUGUGGAGAAGUCGAAUAUUAUUCAGAUAUUAGAGCAAGAGAAGGAGGGUCUUGAACAAUUUACUGCUACUGAUGGGUAUGAUUACAGUGGUGGAAGCAAUGUGUUGAAGGUGUUGGGGUAUUUCAGUAUGGUGGGUUUGUUGCGAGUUCAUUGUCUUUUGGGUGAUUACCAAACCGGGCUGAAGUGCUUGCUUCCAAUUGACAUUAGUCAACAAGGUGUUUACACCAGUGUUAUAGGAAGUCACAUUACAACCAUAUAUCAUUAUGGGUUUGCCAAUCUUAUGUUGCGGAGGUAUGUAGAUGCUAUUCGUGAAUUCAAUAAGAUGCUCUUGUAUAUUUACAAGACAAAGCAAUAUCAUCAGAAAUCUCCACAGUAUGAACAGAUACUGAAAAAGAAUGAACAGAUGUAUGCCUUGCUCGCAAUUUGUCUUUCACUUUGCCCCCAAGUGAAACUUGUUGAGGAGACUGUGAACUCUCAGUUGCGGGAGAAGUAUGGUGAAAAGAUGGCUAGGAUGCAAAGAUAUGAUGAUGAAGCUUUUGCCAUCUAUGAUGAGCUCUUCUCAUAUGCAUGUCCCAAGUUUAUUACACCUUCAGCUCCAAGCUUUGAGGAGCCCCUUGUAAAUUACAACCAGGAUGCCUACAGACUUCAGUUGAAGCUGUUUCUUUACGAAGUGAAGCAGCAGCAGUUGUUAUCAGGUGUCCGGACAUUUCUUAAAGUGUAUUCAACCAUAUCUCUUGGGAAGCUUGCAAAUUACAUGGAAGUUGAUGACCCCACUCUGAGGACUAUCCUGUUGACAUAUAAGCACAAAACUCAUGCUGUUGAUUCUGAAGGAAAGGUUAUCUCUAAUGCUGAUGUGGACUUCUACAUUGAUGAUGUACGUAAAACUUUUAGCCUAUGCAAGUAUCUAUGUGCUGCUGAGAAAAUGUGCUUUAAGUUACCAUGUGUUCUCUACAACUUUAUAGCUGCAGAUACAGAUGGCAUACACAAGCAACUUUGGACUAACCUCAGGCUAGGUUACGUAAACAUUUCAAGUUACUCUGCUGCAGGACAUGAUUCAUGUUGUUGAAUCCAAGCCAGUGAAACGGUAUGGUGAUUACUUCUUGCGACAGAUUGUCAAGCUUGAAGGUGUGAUAAAUGAUAUGGAUCGGAUAAAGCUGGACUAGGUUGCCUAUUUAUCUUGCAUGGAGUUCACGGAUUUUACUUGAUGGUUUUACUUUUACAUUUGGGAGAGAUUUUGAUGCCUUUUCCUUUUUUCAAAUUAGUGGAAUGUGGUUAGCUUCAGAUGUGCUUAAUUACCUGCUGUAUAAAUAGCUCCAUUACAAGAGUGCCUUAAGAGCGUCAAAGAGGUUUAUCCCAGUUAUGCCCUUGAUGGCAUGCCAGAAAAUUUUUCUUGUGAUAAUGUACUAUUCUUCCGAGUAAUCAAUCAAUGGAACUUUCAACCAUGCAAAAUGAAUGGCGCUUGAGUACCUUGCUCACUCCAUCAAGUUCCAUUUACAGGAAAACAUUCAAAAAUUGCAGGAAGGCGACUCCUUUUCCGAUUUGGGUCAGACAACCAUUGGCAAGGGCAGGAGAUGAGGAAAUGAAACUUGCAUUGUUCAUUCGGGAAAUUUGUGUUUCCCUGCCUCCUUUCAAAGCUGUCUCAGCAAAAGCAGCUGUUUACUUCAAUUUUUUUUACUGUAAAAAUCUUGGAUAUUGACAAAGGAAUUCAAACUAGUUUGCCUUGACAAUGUCUUUUCACUGAAGGGCUAAUUAUUCAGACCUAAAGCAAUACAGGACUUCGUACAGACAGACUUUGGUAUUUUAGUCUCCAUUUUUCGAAGGAGACCCACGUUUGAAGGGCAGAUGCAUCCCGCCAGCCUUUGCUUCAAUUCUUGAUGAUGCUACAAUCUUUGUUACCAAACCAUCUAACCUUCCAAGAUAGACAUUAAAACACCAUUUCCUCCAUCCAUCUAUCUUCCUCUCUCUAACUCUGAGUCGAUCGUCACUCGCUCUCUCCCAACCAAACACGUGUCAAUGCCACAUUGCCAGGAGAGCAAUUGUUCCUUUUUUUUCUCUCAUGCACAUGCUCUUCAUCUCUAGCUCGCCUAAUCACGCGUUGGCCACCACCACAAUGAUGCAUAUGUGCUCCGUUCAGUGGUGUCUGAGACUGAAAGGCAAGUCCAUCUGUGCAUACCAACAGCGAUUUCGAUAACUAUACUCUAAGUCGAACUACGGCAAAAGAAACAGCAGCUGCCACUGCCAGCCAUGCCAAGGUGCGGCAGCUGUUGCGCAAUGCAAUGAAGAUAGUAAACGUCAUUAUGAAUUUUCUGGGGAUUGCAAUUAUUGUCUACUCUCCAAAAGAAGUGGAAUGACGGUUCUGCUG